rfam:Citrus sinensis cultivar Ridge Pineapple sweet orange scaffold00157_contig_15, whole genome shotgun sequence.
CAGUGAAGAUCCGAUUAGCCAAGAUGGAUACUGCCUUCGAAUUUCCUAGAUACUUCUAAAAAUCUUCCUUGUAGCUAUAGUAAGAAGGCAAGUCAUUCUUGGCUACCAAGCAAGGUUUUUCAUC